rnacentral:lncRNA from 1 species
CACAGAUCCAAACCAUAUUAUAUACAUAUAAUGAAACUGAAGCUGGAAAAUAAAGUUGAAGAAAUUAGAACAAUAAAAGAAAAGGAUAACUAAGUUCUGGCCAAUGAGACAAGAGAGGAUUAAAUCUUUUGAAAAGGAAAUUGGCUGUCCUCCACUCCUCAUUCCUCCAUCCCAUUGCUGGAAUAAAGUUUUGGUGAUUAUCUAGCUUGAACCAUGUAGACAUGGACAACAUCCUAAGAUUUGAACCACCAGAGACACUGGCACAUUGAAGGAGACCCGUGAAGAGAAUUUCAGAGAAACUUAGCUGGAGUCCUAAUCACGUGGUGCCAGAAGCCUUCAUUGCCUCUAGACUUUUCAAGUAACAGUAACCAAAAAAAAUCUUUUAUUUUUAAAACCAGUUUUAUUAGUGAUUCUGUUCCUUGCAACCCAAAAAUUCAAAAUGAUGCAAUAUAUAGAUAUAUUACAGUAGUACUCAACUGAAACUGCACGUUAAAAUCACCUGGGGAACUUCUAAAAGUAACCAUACCUGGAUCUCACACCCAGAGAUUCUGAUUAAAAUGGUCUGGGUAUGGGAUCCUAGCACUAGUAUUUUUAAAAAACAUUCCCUUGUGAUUUUAAUACACAGUGAAGAUUAAAGACCAUGAAUAUAUUAUAUAAUAUAUAUGUUAGGUAUACAUAAAUUGUUGGAAGGAAAAUACAGUAAAAGUUAAGGA